UCAAAGUAUGCCAAACGAUGUUUCGUGUUCCGCAUAAUGGAUGUAUCUGAUAUACUAUGGAGAACAGGCCGAUUCUCAGGAAACUUGUUAAACCGAGUGUUAAAUUACUAUGUGAAUAGAUGGCUUCGAAAUCUAAUCUGUAUUACAGUGGCGCGUUCGAAAGUAAACGUGAAAUGUGAAAAUCCACGGAAAAAUGCGAACUACUGAAUAGGUAUUAGGUUAUCAAAGGCACCGAUGACACGGAUGUAUGUUCGAUAAAUAAAGUCGCACAAAUUCUACUUCUAGCCAAUUAAAAUUGUAAUUUUGUUCUAGUACUAAUGUGCAUAACAAUUCGAAGAUUGUAAAGAUGCAAAAUUAUGUUCCUUAAGUGUAGAACAUAAAUGCUUAAAAAAUGAUUUUAAAUGUUCCCGCUUCGAUUGUUCCGGUUUGCACAUUCCUGUUUCGCGUUCCACGUGUUCCGGUAGUUUUCGAAAAGCGUGGAAGUGUUAACCAGUGCUCGUCGUUAUUAACUAUUUAUUCGUGAAUAGACGCCGUGUUUGCAGGUUCUUGCUAUUAUCACCGUGACGAGUGUCGAUCGAUCAACGUCGCUAAGGAAGGGCUGGACAAUCUAUAUUGAUAGAAGUUGACCAGCCUAGAUGACAGCACCGACGUAGAUGCAGAACUAUG